GCCUAAACCCAAGCCCCCCCCCACCCCACCCCAACAAAUAAUAAAACAUUCUAUUAUUAAGUAACGGCGAUUAAAAAAUAAAUUGGAGCUAUAUAAACUGUACCGCAAGGGAAAUAUGAAAUAAAAUGAAAACUCAAAGCAAACUAUAGCAAAGAUUAAUUCUUGUACCUUUUGCAUCAUGAUCUAGCCAGUCUAACCAAGCAAAACGCACUUAAAGUUUGACACCCCGAAACUAAGCGAGCUACUCUAAAACAGCCCACAGAGCCAACUCAUCCCUGUUGCAAAAGAGUGAGAAGAUUUUAAAGUAGAGGCGAUACACCUAUCGAGCCUAGAGAUAGCUGGUUAUUCAAAAGACGGAUCUAAGUCCAACUUUAAGUUUUCUCAAUUUAAUUAAAUAAUUACUAAACUUAAAAGCCAUUCAAAUAAGGUACAGCCUAUUUGAACAAGGAUACAACCUACAACAUCGGGUAAUGUAUUUUAACGUGACCAAGUAGACCUAAAAGCAGCCAUCUUUUAAAAAGCGCCCAAGCUUCCCCACUAAACAUUUCUAAUACCACCACUAAUCCACAACCCUCAAUCACUACUGAAUGACCCCAUAACUGUAUGGAAAACACCAUGCUAGAACUAGUAACAAGAAGACGAACUUCUCCACAAUGUAAACGUAAGCCAUAAUAAACCUCUUGCCGGCACUUAUCGCUAUAAUCUACAGUAUGUUUUUACAAGAAAAUUCUACUAAUUCAAGCGCUAACCUUACACCAGAACAUUACUGGAAAGAUUAAAAGAGAAGGAAGGAACUCGGCAAAUAAAAGCCCCGCCUGUUUACCAAAAACAUCGCCUCUUGAUAACUAUAAGAGGUCUAGCCUGCCCGGUGACACAAAGUUAAACGGCCGCGGUAUCCUGACCGUGCGAAGGUAGCAUAAUCACUUGUUCUUUAAAUCAGGACUAGUAUGAAUGGCCCCACGAAGGCUACACUGUCUCCCCCCUCCAAUCAGUGAAACUGAUCUCCUCGUGAAGAAGCGAGGAUACCCCCAUAAGACGAGAAGACCCCAUGGAACUUUAAACUAGUACCACUCCUCCACACGACAUCCCAUGACUACUAGUCUUUCGGUUGGGGUGACCACGGGAAAAAAUAAAACCCCCGAGAUGAAAGGAAACAUCCUUAUCUCAGAACUACUAUUCCAAGAAUCAAAAAAUGACACUAUUGACCCAAUACUUGAUCAACGAACCAAGCUACCCUGGGGAUAACAGCGCAAUCCAUUUCAAGAGCUCCCAUCAACAAAUGGGCUUACGACCUCGAUGUUGGAUCAGGAAAUCCUAGUGGUGCAGCCGCUACUAAAGGUUCGUUUGUUCAAC
rnacentral:rRNA from 1 species